GUGAGUAGUUCAGAGUUUGAUCCUGGCUCAGGAUGAACGCUAGCUACAGGCUUAACACAUGCAAGUCGAGGGGCAGCAUGAAGUUUGCUUGCAAACUUUGAUGGCGACCGGCGGAUGGGUGAGUAACGCGUAUCCAACCUGCCCCCUUCCCGGGCACAGCCCUUGGAAACGAGGAUUAACUCCCGAUGGUGUCAGUCAGGCGCAUGCCUUUCUGACCAAAUGUUUAAGGAAGGGGAUGGGGAUGCGUCCCAUUAGCUUGUUGGCGGGGUAACGGCCCACCAAGGCUCCGAUGGGUAGGGGUUCUGAGAGGAAGGUCCCCCACACUGGAACUGAGACACGGUCCAG
rnacentral:rRNA from 1 species